rnacentral:snRNA from 1 species
GGAUGUGAGGACAAUCUGGCUGUGACAUCUGUCACCCCAUUGAUUUCCAGGGUUGAUUCAGCUGAUCUGCCUGGCUAGGUGGGUGCUCCCUUCCUCCCUCCCCUGUGGCUCCAUGUGCAUUCCUCCUGAAGCUGUGUGCUUGGUAGAGAGAGGAUGACCUUCCCCAAAUAGAGGAGGAUCUGUUUUCAGUCAAGGGUAUAAAAGUAGGAUUAGUUGUGCUCCUUCGAUUGAACCUCCAUACAAGCGCUCAAGAAUGCAAUCAUUUGUCAAAGCAGAAGUGACUAAAUAUUUCAGAUAAAAAUAGGUUU